GAAGUCGGUGUGAGCACCACUGCCACUGAAUCUAGCUGGAACGUUUGAAUGAAGUUUGCUUAUGUAAUAAAUGAGGAGUUUGGGGACUUGUCCAGGUUUUUUCUGGUACCAGAACACACAGUUUCUCCAGAGAGAACAGUCAGCAACAGUGAAGUGUUCAGUGUUUUGCUGCAUCUUUGUUCGGGUUAACAGGGGCAAUUGGUAAGUUGUACAGACCGAACAUAUGAGAGGUAAGUGAUCAUUGUAGAAAGUGUGCAGAGUUGGUGAUUUAGUUGCAAUAGCCACCCAAACCUCAGUACAGAGAGCUGUAUGACCAACAUUAUUAUACUCAAAGAAUCUGUUUUAAAGUCAGAAAAUCCUGGUGCUUCCUCAAGCCCUGCUCACCUGGGAAUGAUGCAGAAACUGAAUCCCCCAUUACAGGUACAGUACACGGAGAAUAAUUUAUUUAUGAAUCUAAAAUUAAUUAAACUCCCGCUGGGACAGUGAGCAUCUGGUAAACGUGCUGUUCUAUUCUGGGACUAACAGAAUCACUCCACCCUGCCUAUGCAAAUAUGAGUUUCACUUCUGAUUUUUAUUUAUUUUUCUGUUUUACAGUAUUGUUGAUUAAAAUGGAUUGAAAUGAAACAAAUUUGUUGGCUACACUGGUUUUAUAGAGUUAAACUGAAUUAGUUUUGAUGACUUUGACUUUUUCAGUACACCUCAUGAAAUAAAGCAAUGACCUAUAUAUAAAAUAUUGUAGGAGACAGUACCAUUCUACUGAGCUGUGGUUGUGUACUGAAAGUUUUAGCAAAUACAGCAUUUCAUGAGGACAUUAAAUGAGCAUGUCUAGUCACCAUACAGUGUGAGUGAACCAGUAUAUGUUUUGGUUCAGUUAACUGUAUCACCAGCUUAAAAAAAAAGUGCAGCUUUAAUAUUACACUUAGCUAAUGUUCUUUAAAAACAAUUACAAAAUGUUACAUUAAAGUUUAUGUUGACAUACAGUAUAUUGUGUAAAAGCUCAGUAGCAAUAUAUAAUGGAGAAAAUGUUGAAAAAACAAAUUUAAUUUUAUAUGAUUUUAUACUGUUUUGUUGUAAUUAUUCAGUUUAUUUAGAUA